rnacentral:lncRNA from 1 species
GUUUGCCAUGUUCACUCAAACUUCUAGUUUUAAUCCAUCCCUUGUGGCUACUUGCGCAGUUUCAGUUUCUAUGCAAGCUCUUCUGCAUGACCUUGUACAGUUAUAAAUGUUUUAACAUCCAUAAAAAAGUAAAACCGUGCGCUCCCAUAAAGAGCAGCAAACAGAAAACACAGCGAGUAGAAGGAAGAUUUGAGGCCGUGCAACGCUAGUCUCGCUGCGGCCGACGUUCCUGCGCGUCCAUUGCAUCCCUGACGUUUAAUGGCUGUGAAUACGGUUAUCGCGGCUUUUUAGAGGGCAUUAUAUUAGUGUGACCGUCGCUCCCGUGUAGUGAUUGCCCUCACAGAGACCCACGUGGCAAGAAACUGAGGGAGGCCUCCAGCCAACAACCAGCAAGGAGCUGAGGCCCUUGGUCUAACAUCCAGGAUGAAAUAUGCCUUGCCAACAACGACAUGGGAUCUCUGUCACCCAUGAUUGUGACAUACUGAUGUCAUCUUAAGAGUGGGCCAUCGUGUAUCAUCAUAAAGACUGACUCAUCUUCUCCAUCUCAUCACAGACCUGAUCUUCCUGUGGGGGAUCCCA